rnacentral:rRNA from 1 species
AAUUCCCCGACUUCUGGAAAGGGAUGUUUUUAUUAGAUAAAAACACAAUAUCGGGCAACCGAUUCCGUUGGUGAUUCAUAAUAACUUUUCGAAUCGUAUGACUUCACGUCGACGAUGAAUCAUUCAAAUUUCUGCCCUAUCAACUUUCGUUGGUAGGAUAGAGGCCUACCAUGGUGGUAACGGCUAACGGGGUGUUAGGGCACGACACCGGAGAGGGAGCCUGAGAAACGGCUACCACAUCCAAGGAUGGCAGCAGGCGCGGAAAUUACCCAAUCCCGACACGGGGAGGUAGUGACAAUAAAUAACAAUACGGGGUUCUUUCGGAUCUCGUAAUUGGAAUGAGUACAAUUUAAAUCUCUUAACGAGGAACAAUUGGAGGGCAAGUCUGGUGCCAGCGGCCGCACUAAUUCCAGCUCCAAUAGCGUAUAUUAAAGGUGUUGCAGUUAAAAAGCUCGUAGUUGAAUUUCGGGAUUAGUGCGCCGGUAGUGCCUUCGGUAUGUACUGGUGUUACUGGUUCCUACCAUCUGACGAACCGUCAUGUCAUUAAUUUGGUGUGGCCGGGAAUCAGGACUGUUACUUUGAAAAAUUUAGAGUGUUUAAAGCAGGCUCGCGCUUGAAUACAUUAGCAUGGAAUAAUGAAAUAGGACGUUCGCUCCUAUUUUGUUGGUUUCUAGGAUUGACGUAAUGAUUAAUAGGGAUAGUUGGGGGCAUUAGUAUUCAAUUGUCAGAGGUGAAAUUCUUGGAUUUAUUGAAGACAAACUACUGCGAAAGCAUUUGCCAAGGAUGUUUUCAUUAAUCAAGAACGAAAGUUAGGGGAUCGAAGACGAUCAGAUACCGUCGUAGUCUUAACCAUAAACUAUGCCGACUAGGGAUCGGAUGAUGUUAUUUUUAAUGACUCAUUCGGCGCCUUAGCGGGAAACCAAAGUGUUUGGGUUCCGGGGGGAGUAUGGUCGCAAGGCUGAAACUUAAAGGAAUUGACGGAAGGGCACCACCAGGGGUGGAGCCUGCGGCUUAAUUUGACCCAACACGGGGAAACUCACCAGGUCCAGACAUAGUUAGGAUUGACAGAUUGAGAGCUCUUUCUUGAUUCUAUGGGUGGUGGUGCAUGGCCGUUCUUAGUUGGUGGAGUGAUUUGUUUGGUUAAUUCCGUUAACGAACGAGACCUUAACCUGCCAAAUAGCUAGGCUUAACAUUGUUAGGUCGCCAGCUUCAAGGGCG